ACUCAGCCAUGUGGUUCCUUCAGCUCUCAGCACAGCCGAGUCCAGGCUGCAGGCUCUCCAUCACAAGCCAACUACAGAGUGACACAUGUUCUCUACACAUGCCGUGACUGAAUAUGUUGUGUUCUGAAAAUAUUUGGGAGUUAAUUUGUGUUUUGUGCCUAGUGCUUCAUGGACCGGUGCUCAUUGCAUCCUUACAGCCAUCUACAAGGGUGUCACCAUUAUUUGUAUUUUAUUAGACUUAGAGAGGUGAAGUGACUUGCUCAAAAUAAUACGGUUAGCAAAUGACUGAACCCCGACCCAACAGGGAGAAUGUGGGAAGAAAUCAACAAAGCUUAUUUAACAGGUAUCUGCCAAGGGUUGGAAAAAAUAAGAUUUAUUGUUGCUCCACUGAGCAGAACACAGCCCAUCAGAGGUUACUGCACCUUCAACGACAUGUGCUUUUGACUGACCCAUCAAAACACUGGUGGCAAGAGCACUAAAUAAGUUGCCUAUCAUACUUAAUCUUUCCAGGAUUCAAAGAGGAGUGUAGAGUGAAAUGACCUAUAAGACCCCUGAGCCUAAAAUAUAAUCUAAUGGACUCAGCUUUAAAGCGCUCAUUGAGAGGAUGGCCAAAAACCAGCCGCCACAGUGCGAAGCACGAUUCCUCCACCAUCCGCAGUCCACUCGCACAAAUACCCUCAGUGAAACACUUCUUUCUCUCCACCCACUUUUGAGUAGGAUGAAAUGGCACAUUCCAUUUUCAAAGUGGGCAGCUUGCACGUAUCAGCAGUGCCAGGAAUUUGGAAAACGAUAACGUGGAACCCACAGUAACUUGCUGGCUGAAUUUACUCACCCAGGUGACCCAGGUCGAUGAGGGCUUCAGAGCCACGGGGAUUUUAAAUGCCGCUUCAAAGCCAACAAGGAGCAGAACCAGUGCUGAUUCGUGUUUAUGAUAAUGACAUUUGAAAGGCUAAAAAUUACAAAGUUGUUUACAGAGAUGGACUUAGAAAAUAAUUGUAUCUAAUGUCUCAUAAACAUAAAAGAAAGUUAUUUUGUAGUAGAUGAUUGAAAAGAAAAAAUCUCCUUUAAAAAGGAAAUAAAUAUACUAGUUUCAGACAGAAACAACUUCAAAGGCAAUCAGAAAAUUCAGUGGAAUUUUAAAGAGGGAAUCUCACUCAAAGAAUUCUCUAAAAUUGCCUAAACUUAAAAGCAUUAUUUUUCUCGAGACAUUUAAUUUAGAUUGCAUACCAAACCCUGUAAUAAACCUCCUGCAAAGAAAUAAUAAUAGACCAUAGGCAUUAUAUAUGUUCACUGUUCACUGCGUGUAAAUACAAUGAUUGACCUUCCAUCAACAGACAAGAGGCAUAACUCCAUGGCAACAGAGAAAUAGAGGUCACAAUCAUAUUUUCCAAGGCAAUUUUUGGCCCUCGGGGGAUUCACUGUUAUACUUGGAGGCCAUGUCACCUGAGAGUCAAUGGGCAACGAUCAAAUUUCACCUUGAGCAGAUUCUUUUGUUUGCUUUUUAGUCACAAAUAGCUUGGCCCUAAGUGGUGGCUCCCAUUCUUGUAAGAUGCGUUUAUUCAUCGUGUAAUCACCAGUUCCCUGUAGUGGGGGCGUGGAUGGAGUGUCAGAGGCUCCUGCUGGUCUUUAGGGUGUCUGGCCUCCAGGAAUCCUAGAGUAAAUUGGGAACUACAGCACUCGAUGUUAGAGUUGUCGUGAAGAUUAAAGAAGGUGACGACUGGACAACUCCCAGCCCAAUACCUGAAACUGUACCAGCACCCAGUGAGCACUGCUAUUCCUGUGACUGCUGCACAUUUGCCUUAUCUCAGCAGUAUGCCUGUGUCACUUUUUUGGCACUCUUUUCUCAUGGGUACAUUCAGAGAAGAGGAAUGUUUGUUCACUGGUGAAGAGAACAUCCCGUGUACUAUCGUGUAGAAGUUGUAGUAGACGCUGUGGUCUUUCCAACAACAAACAAAGAGGGAGGUAUCCAGAGAGGCUAAUGGAAGAGACAGGCUUUGGGAUUUAUUUGCAGAGAGGUUAGGCAUUCAGACAUGUGGAAAGAGAGAUGAAAGGAAAGUGCACCUGAGGCUGAACAAGUGACUAAAGGAGAAGCCACUGUGCCUGUCGAAAGAACAAUGAAUAAUCCAGAAUUGAUAGAUAAGUAAGACUGGGGAAGGAAGAGAAAGGAAGACACAGCCUCUGAGAGCCGGAUGAAGACACAAAUGGGAUGGAGGCUGCGGCUGUUAAACCAUCAGGACUCAGCGGCUGUUAAACCAUCAGGACUCAGCAAUUAUUUCAUGUGGAGACAAGUGAUGGCAAAGCCAAAAGGCCACGGGUGUUGAGCUGUUGACGAGAAACUGAAAGUGCCAUUGUGUUUAUACAGGAAGCUGCCAUUAGUAGGGAUUUGAAAAAGCAAGAGGAGAGGAUGAGUUUAGUGGGGAGUUCUUACACUUCAGGUGCUAGUGGAUACCACCAAGUCAAUAUUGAGUAGCAGGAAACCAGGGCCUGAUGUUCCGUCAGGCCAUCAGGGCGGAGACAUUGUGGAGAGGAAGUUUUGAGGCUGUGAGAUUAGGAGAGAAGCAUGGAGUGUAGAGCAGGAACUAGGCCUCUCUUUACCCAAAAUCCAAAACCCCACUUAUGCCAGACACACUCAAUACUUUCUGCUGGGAUCCUCAAUUCUCAUAAAGUUUUCAUAAUAAGGCCGGGCGGGGUGGCUUAUGCCUGUAUUCCCAGCACUUUGGGAGGCCGAGGCGGGCGGAUCACCUGAGGUCAGGAG
rnacentral:lncRNA from 1 species